rnacentral:rRNA from 1 species
CACGGGGGGAGCAAGCGUUGUUCGGAAUCACUGGGCGUAAAGGGCGUGUAGGCGGUCAAGUAAGUGGAAUGUGAAAGCCCCCCGGCUUACCCGGGGAUCUGCAUCCCAAACUGCUUGGCUUGAGUACGGGAGAGGAUAGGGGAAUUCCUGGUGUAGCGGUGAAAUGCGUAGAUAUCAGGAGGAACACCGGUGGCGAAGGCGCCUAUCUGGCCCGAUACUGACGCUGAUGCGCGAAAGCCAGGGGAGCGAAGCGGG